AUGAAGUUUUGUUUUUUUCUUUUUAUUUUUUCCUGCAGGAAAACAAUAAUCUACUUCCUGACCUGCUUGAAUUAUUGGGUGGAAAAGAAGUUAACUCACUAUCCCAGUUCCAUGCAGGUUUCCUAUGAAGGAGAUUUACUAAAACAUGAUGGUCAGCGCUGCUUUUUCUUCCACUCUUGCCAGGGGCCAGAAUGCUUCUUCUUGAACCAGGAAACAAGCAUAAUUGAAGUCAGUGGAAUACCUCAUAUGCUUACAGCAUUUCAGCACCUUUAAGGGCUGGAUAAAAGUGCAAAGUGAUAUAGACCAGAGCCCCUCUGUACUACACACAGUGCACGUGGUUCUAGCCCGGUGAAACUUAAAGUCAAAAAACAAGAGAUGGCCACAGAUGGAAGUGGGGAGCACCAGGAAAAAGGACCAGUGCAG
rnacentral:lncRNA from 1 species